AUGAUGGAUUCGGGAGAGACUGUCCGGGGGCUGGAGUGAUGAUCCGGCAGUGACUUAGGGCAGCGCCGAAGGGGAAGCGGAGAACUCUCAGGCAAAAGGACCGGAUACCGGAC
rnacentral:ncRNA from 2 species